AAUGAACGUUGGCGGCGUGGGUUAGGCAUGCAAGUCGUACGGGUCGGUGUAGCAAUACAACGGCAAGUGGCGAAAGGGAGAGUAACACGUAGAUACCUACCCUCUGGUCGGGGAUACCGCGGCAUAACCGCAAGUAAUACCCGAUAAAAUCUCCGGAUCAAAGGUGUGAUUCCGCCGGAGGAGGGGUCUGCGUUCUAUCAGCUUGUUGGUGAGGUAAUGGCUCACCAAGGCUAAGACGGAUACGGGGUGUGAGAGCAUGCCCCCGCUCACUGGGACUGAGACACUGCCCAGACACCUACGGGUGGCUGCAGUCGAGAAUCUUCGGCAAUGGGCGCAAGCCUGACCGAGCGACGCCGCGUGCGGGAUGAAGGCCUUCGGGUUGUAAACCGCUGUCGAGGGGAAUGAAGUGUAGGUGGGUACUCCCAUCUAUUUGACAGAUCCCUGGAGGAAGCAUGGGCUAAGUUCGUGCCAGCCGCCGCCGUAACAC
rnacentral:rRNA from 1 species